AAUUUUGGACAAUGGGGGAAACCCUGAUCCAGCCAUCCCGCGUGUGCGAUGAAGGCCUUCGGGUUGUAAAGCACUUUUGGCAGGGAAGAAACGGCGCCGGAUAAUACUCGGCGUCACUGACGGUACCUGCAGAAUAAGCACCGGCUAACUACGUGCCAGCAGCCGCGGUAAUACGUAGGGUGCAAGCGUUAAUCGGAAUUACUGGGCGUAAAGCGUGCGCAGGCGGUUUGGAAAGAAAGGUGUGAAAUCCCGGGGCUUAACCUCGGAACUGCACUUUUAACUGCCGGGCUAGAGUACGUCAGAGGGGGGUAGAAUUCCACGUGUAGCAGUGAAAUGCGUAGAGAUGUGGAGGAAUACCGAUGGCGAAGGCAGCCCCCUGGGCCGAUACUGACGCUCAUGCACGAAAGCGUGGGUAGCAAACAGG
rnacentral:rRNA from 1 species